CUCUGAUACUAAUGGGCUAUGUGACCCUGGGCAAGGCCCAGCACCCUUCCAACACAGCUUCUCAGCUUCAACCAAGAACCUGAAGGAACUCAAGUAGAUCUGAAGUGGCUGACUCCCCUUGAAGGCCCUGGGGUGAGGGGGUAAGAGAUGACACUGAAGUGGCGUAUCUUUUGCUACCAUGAGGACUGCCCCACGCAGAAGUGCUUCUGAGAUAACAGCCUCAAGAGCAGCAGGUUUUGGACAAGGGUCAUGAUUAUCUUUUAUCUGACAGCACCAAGCAGAGUACAGAACACACAGUAGGCUCCGAGCUCUGAAGAAGAAAGGGCUUGGAGAGAGGAAGACCCAGCUGAGAUCCCUCUGAAACUGUGAUAUACGACAUCACUGCCUCAGGACCUGUCCAACUGUCAGACAGCAGGAAGCUGCCCCACUCGUGAACAUCUAUUCGACUCUCCAAGUCCGGGGAGUCUACCUGGCACACAGGAGGCGUGACUCACAUGUGGCUAUGGCAGAUCUCCUCCCUCCUCCCAAGGCUUACCAGGCAACCUUGGCCUAAAGCACAGAAUGUUCUCGGUAAACAUAAAGGACCCUAAAAAUAUUAACAGUGAUUGUUAUUGUUGUUAUUAAAUCUACAGUUUGGAGCAGUAACCACAAAAUUGGUGACUUCCACAAGUCCAAUUAUGACCACUACAAAGUGGACAAAAUAAAACUUUUCUCCUAGGAAUCUUAAUCUGUUUCUCCAAUAGUGAUUCUCAAAGGGGCAUGAUUUUGCACCUGGGGGAGAUUUAGCAAUGUCUGGAGACGUGUUUGGUUGUCACAAUGGGGGCUGGCAGGGGUCUUCCUGGCAUCUAGUGGGUAGAGGCCAGAGAUGCUGCUAAACAUUCUCCAGUGCGUGGGAUGGUCCCCACAACAAAGAAAUAUCCUACCCAAAACGUCAGGGUGCUGAGGUUGAGAAAUCCUAUCCUAUGGGAUUAUGG
rnacentral:lncRNA from 1 species